rnacentral:rRNA from 1 species
AGUUUGAUCCUGGCUCAGAGCGAACGUUAGCGGCGGGCCUAACACAUGCAAGUCGAACGAGAAAGUCUUCGGGAUGAGUAAAGUGGCGCACGGGUGAGUAACACGUAGGUAAUCUACCCAUUGGUGGGGGAUAACAUCCCGAAAGGGGUGCUAAUACCGCAUAAGCCCACAGCUUCCACGGAAGCAGGGGGAAAAGGUGGCGACCCGCAAGGGCUACCGCCAAAGGAGGAGCCUGCGUCCCAUCAGCUAGUUGGUAGGGUAACGGCCUACCAAGGCGAAGACGGGUAGCUGGUCUGAGAGGAUGAUCAGCCACACUGGCACUGGAACACGGGCCAGACUCCUACGGGAGGCAGCAGUGAGGAAUAUUGGGCAAUGGGCGCAAGCCUGACCCAGCCACGCCGCGUGAGUGAUGAAGGCCUUCGGGUUGUAAAGCUCUGUGGGGAGGGAAGAAAAACUUGGGUUCGAAUAGGGCUCGAGGUUGACGGUACCUCCUUAGCAAGCACCGGCUAACUCUGUGCCAGCAGCCGCGGUAAGACAGAGGGUGCAAACGUUGCUCGGAAUCACUGGGCGUAAAGGGCGCGUAGGCGGAUCGGGAAGUCGGGUGUGAAAUCCCUGGGCUCAACCUAGGAACUGCAUUCGAAACUCCCGGUCUAGAGUGACGGAGAGGAAAGCGGAAUUCCCGGUGUAGAGGUGAAAUUCGUAGAUAUCGGGAGGAACACCAGAGGCGAAGGCGGCUUUCUGGACGUUGACUGACGCUGAGGCGCGAAAGCGUGGGGAGCAAACAGGAUUAGAUACCCUGGUAGUCCACGCCGUAAACGAUGGGCACUAGGUGUCGCGACGAUGACCGUUGCGGCGCCGUAGCUAACGCACUAAGUGCCCCGCCUGGGGACUACGGCCGCAAGGUUAAAACUCAAAGGAAUUGACGGGUCCCCGCACAAGCAGCGGAGCGUGUGGUUUAAUUCGAUGCUACACGAAGAACCUUACCUGGGUUUGACAUAGAGGUAGUAGGGAAGCGAAAGCGGACCGACCCUUCGGGGAGCCUCUACAGGUGUUGCAUGGCUGUCGUCAGCUCGUGUCGUGAGAUGUUCGGUUAAGUCCGCUAACGAGCGCAACCCUCGCUGUGUGUUACAAGUGUCACACGGUACUGCCGAUAUUAAGUCGGAGGAAGGUGGGGAUGACGUCAAGUCAGCAUGACCUUUAUAUCCAGGGCUACACACACGCUACAAUGGCCAGUACAAUGGGUUGCCAAGCCGCGAGGUGGAGCUAAUCCCAGAAAACCGGUCGUAGUCCGGAUCGGAGUCUGCAACUCGACUCCGUGAAGUCGGAAUCGCUAGUAAUCGCGAAUCAGCAAUGUCGCGGUGAAUACGUUCCCGGGCCUUGUACACACCGCCCGUCACACCAUGGGAGUCGGGUGCUCCAGAAGUGCUGCGCCAACCCGCAAGGGAAGCAGGCCCCUAAGGAGUGCUUGGUAACUGGGGUGAAGUCGUAACAAGGUAACC